CACAUCAUGCGGUGGAUAUGCGACAAUUAAACCUUUAUUUUCUAUUUAAAUAUUUAUAAACGUGAAUAUACGACUUGCUUUAACGAUACAAGCGUUAAUUCGUUACUGAUAGGAUCAUGCGGCAGCAAUGAAUAGGACACUCCUCGUUCUCUGGUUGCUUGAUGUGGCGACUGCAGAAGUGGCUCAGCAAAGCGUCUUCGUUGGAGCAAACAACCCUGCAUUCUGGACACCGAUUGUGCGCCUCCUUUAAAUAUAAAACUUUGUGAAACAUAAAAAUAUAUUAAACAUUUAUUUUUCAUCAUUUUAACCAAUAAAUACCUACUAAACAAGAA